rnacentral:lncRNA from 1 species
AGCAGAUGGGCGAGCAGGUAAUGCAGGUGCUUCUUGGUUGAUGAUAAGGAUGAGUUUUUCAAAAUUGAGAAUAAUUUUUAAAUUUUAGAGCCAGUCUUUGUAAUUGAUGCUGGUCAACCUAUUUGUAUCAAGGAUUCGGGCUAAGGGGUUUGAACUCGACAUGAUUAUCUGUAGAAAGAAUAGUUUCUAGUUAGAUUUUAUACUUA